AGAAACAAUUAAUCCAACUUCCUCACUUUGUCGUCUCAGGUAACUGAAGCCCAAUUGGGAAAACAGCAACUUACUUAACAUAGUGAUUGUCUCCAUGGCUAUGUCCUUUAAAGAUUCACAGAAACCCCAAUUUCCCCUUAAUAAAUCCAUUAUGGCAUGCCUAUGAGUGACUUUAUAUAAACAAUCCUCAAUGUCCUCAUAUCUAGCCUUUCCUCCCUUUAGGGAAGCUGGCUGCUAACACAGCACCUGACCAGAGUAGACACUUGAUAAAUAUUUGUUGACUUGAAUUAAUCCUGGCGUCUAUCCUUUUUUACUAUGCAAUCUUUAUUUUUUCCUAGGGCUUCUUACUUUUAACUUUAAGAGAUGGCUUCUAGUUCAAGUAUUUUGAGGCUUGGUACCCAAUGCUGAUUUGUCAUCUCUCUAGAUUUUACUUUUUCAUAUUGAAAUUCUUUUUUUAGUCUGUUCUCUUAAUAGCUUUUGUUACAUCCAAUGAUUGCCUUUCUCCAGGCACUACCAAACUCAUUACUAUGGAUAGUUUCUGCCUUUACAGGCUUAGAAUUGCCAAGUUGAGAGAGACAUUUUUUUUUUUCAAUUCUUAAAGCAACUAGACUUUCUCCAGCAGAUUUGCUAAGGCACACUAGAAGAAAUGUAAAAAUCUCACAUUCUUGUUUUAGUUAAUACAUGGGAGAAUAUUACUAAUAUGUACAUUUGCUUUCUACAUUUGUGGUUGCCUUAUACAUCUCCUUCUCCUUUAAUUCCUUAAACACAUAAAUAUGAGUCAUGAUAUCUAAAGCCAGUCUCAUUUAAAAAAGAUAAGAAAUGGUGAUUUGUGGGGAAUUAGCACUUAGACGUUGGUAAUGUUUAGAAAUCAUCUUUAGGAACUUGGUGAGAAUGCUCUCAUUUUAUGUAAAGAAUUGUCAUGGUUUGAAUGGGACUUGGUAGUAAAGUGUGUGGACAAUGCAUUUACCAAAUGAUAUUUUUUUGUGGAUUUAAUUUUUUGUUAGUUUUGUUUGAAAUUCCUGUUAAAUUGCAUUCUGGACAUGACCUAAGGCUAGCUUGUCCACCCCUUGGCCCAUGACGGUUUUGAAUGUGGCCCAUGACAAAUUCAUGAACUUUCUUAAAACAUGCUAUUUUGGCCAGGCACGGCAGCUCAUGCCUGUUAUCUUAGCCCUCUGGAAGGCUGAGGUGGGUGGAUCACCUGAGGUCAGGAGUUCAAGACCAGCCUGGCCAACAUGGUGAAAUCCCAUCUCUACUAAAAAUAUAAAAAUUAGCCAGGCGUGGUGGUACAUGCCUGUAGUCCCAGCUACUCAGGAGGUUGAGGCAGGAGAAUCACUUGAAGCCGGGAGGCGGAGGUUGCAGUGAGCCAAUAUCGUGCCACUACACUCUAGCCUGGGUGACAGAGUGAGACUCCGUCUCAAAA